rnacentral:rRNA from 1 species
UACAGAGGUGGCAAGCGUUGUUCGGAAUUACUGGGCGUAAAGGGCGCGUAGGCGGUCUUAUAAGUCCCGUGUGAAAUCCCUCGGCUUAACUGAGGAACUGCACGGGAUACUGCAAGACUUGAGAUCGGGAGAGGGAAGCGGAAUUCCGGGUGUAGCGGUGAAAUGCGUAGAUAUCCGGAGGAACACCGGUGGCGAAGGCGGCUUCCUGGACCGACACUGACGCUGAGGCGCGAAAGCUAGGGGAGCAAACGGG